UACGUAGGGUGCAAGCGUUGUCCGGAAUUAUUGGGCGUAAAGAGCUCGUAGGCGGUUUGUCGCGUCGGCUGUGAAAACUCGGGGCUCAACCCCGAGCCUGCAGUCGAUACGGGCAAACUAGAGUGCUGUAGGGGAGACUGGAAUUCCUGGUGUAGCGGUGAAAUGCGCAGAUAUCAGGAGGAACACCGGUGGCGAAGGCGGGUCUCUGGGCAGUAACUGACGCUGAGAAGCGAAAGCAUGGGGAGCGAACAGG
rnacentral:rRNA from 1 species